rnacentral:lncRNA from 1 species
CUGGGGGGGCUGGGCCUGAAUUUGGGGUGAAAAAGGGAAAAGGAAGAGGAGGGAAGGCCCUGGGAAGAGCCAGGAGCCCCAGUUUGGGGGGAAUUAACGGAAUUUGGUGAUUCCAGGGAUCUUCACGGUGGAGCUCGGUGAGUCCCGCCCUGCCCCUGCCCCUCGCUAAUUAAUGGCUCGUUAAUUGAUGGGAAAUGACCCCAAACCCCCCUCUCCCUCUCUCCCAGGGGAGCGACACACGAAAAUCGGGGAGCUCACAGCUGACGUGGAGAUCUGCACUAAACGGCUCCAGCAGCACCAGGCCGAGCUGGGUGAGGAACUCUCCCUCCUGUUUUGGGGCGUUUUCCAGGAAAAUCGGGGCUUUCGGGAAAAUGGGGAUUUUUAUUGGGUUUAGAGGUGCAGGCACAGAACCUGAAAUGAGUAUUAUUAAUACAGGAUAUCCCAAAGAUAUAAAUAUAAACGUCACUGUUAAUGUUCAGGGAUAAUUAUAAAUACAGGGAUAUUUAUAGUAUGUUAUUUAUGUGAAUAUGUGAUAUUUAUAAU